UCUACAGCUAUCUCUGCAUUUAAAGGCUUUGUCCACUCAUCUCCCCUGAGACAUUUCUGGCUUAGUCUUUGAGCAUCUUUCUAUUCUAAUACUCUCCUGCUCCCACUGCAGUAUCCUCUUAAUGAAAUCUUUCAUGCUCACGUCCAGACUGUAUUUUUUUCUUUGACAGUAAUGAUGCCGUGACUCUGAUGGAGUAUUGACUACCCCUCCGACCCUGCUUUUUUCACUCAAGCAUUAAGGCUGUUCUAUUACACUCUGUGUCCUUUCCUGGCUGGGGACAUCGGGAUCCACAGUGGAAUCCCACUCUUAAGAUGCCUGACCUAAUGGACACUGAAAUGACUGGUCUUUGCCAACACACAAACCAAACAUUUGCACCAGUCCUCUAGGGACAUCACUGAGAAAAUGCUGACUCUGAGGACCGUUCCACUCAGCCAUCCCAUGUUUGAAAUAUUUCUUAUCCCUGUUUUGUUCAAGGACAGUCUCUCUGAGCCUGCCUGAGCCUGCCUUGAACAAGAAGAGGGACUGACAAAGCUGAUUACACAUCUAUAGGUGGCUUUGCUGAGGACCACUAGGCCCUCAACCCCAUGUGAACUUCCUGCACUUGAGCUUGUUUGCUCCAUGUCAGAUGCAGAAUCCCAACCCCAUGAGCUUAAUCACACACCAACUUUGCUGCCUCAACUUUUCUCUUAGUACAUUAUGUGAUACAGUUCAAGUCUAAGGGCUCCUCCCACACAUCAGCUUCAGCAUUGCAUCUCUCUUCCACUUUCCAUGGGCACCUAUCAAUCUACCGCAGGCCUCUGCCUAUAAAAGCGUGGCUUGCACACAUCUUGCCUGAAUCUUCUCUGGCUUAGGCUUUGAGCAUCUCCUUGUUGCAAAACUCUUCCUUAAUAAUGUCUUUCUUUACUCAAGUGUAGAUUUACAUUGUUUUCCUUGACAACACAGAAGAUAUCAUUUAGGAUUUGAUUUUUGGAAGGUAAAGCAUAAAAAGUUGUCAAGAAGUUUGAACACUUGACUCAGUAGGAUCAUGGAGUGCGGAGAAACUCUAUUUAGUUAUCUAUUUAACCCAACUAAUAAUAAUACAAAUUUUUUAAAGUAGGCAUAGGCCAUACCAUGAUUAUGAAGAACUUUUAAGUGAAAAACCUUGUUCUCAUAAAUUAUCAAGGAUGUGAUAAAGUCAACACAAAAUGUAGGAAAGUACUCUGAUAAGACCCUUAAUAGUUGUCUUCUAGGUAGAUUACUCAAAAUGUAAAGAAAAAUAAUCCAAGAAAAAAUUUGUCAUUUUAAGAGAGAAAAUCCAAUUUUAGUUUUUAAACUAAAGUUCUUAUUGAAAAUCUUAUAAAUAAACUCACCAAACCUAACACAAGUUUGACUAUAAGAAAUCAAAUUUCCUUCCCAUGAAUCACCUACAACUUUCUUCAUCUAGGCAUGUGUUGUUGUUUUUAUACAAUGUUCUCUCUCUCAUCCAGAACGCCUAGUCAUUUUACUUCAGAAUAAAAUUAUUGUCAUAGUCUUUAACAAAAGAUAGUCUGCCCUCUUGGCAUGUGAAGUUUUCUCUCUCUGCGACUACUGCUCCUAUUAGAGUCUAAGUCACAUAUGUUCAUAAUAAUUUUAUAACUACAGUCACUUCAAUUGCACAGAGAAAGCCAGGAGGCAGUGCAAGAAAAAGUUAUGCACUGGUUACCGUUGAAAUAACAAAACAGAUCUUAUUAGAGUGACUGCACUAAGGAAAGGAGACUUCAGUGAAGAACUGAGCUCAAUUUCCAAUUCGGCAAAGAUAGCUGGGCAUGCAGAGCCAAGGGACAGAGUGAGGAGUCAGUAGAUAGAAAAUUACUAAGAGGAACCUGAUUAGAUAUCAGGGGCAGGGGGAUUCUUACUAAACUGGCGUAACAGAAUUUUUACAGGCCAAGGUCUUAGACAUUCAAGGCAGGGGAUGUGAUAAGGGGUUUCAUCAGAUAUUGGGGGGCCAGGGGGUGCUUCUUAAGAUUCUUUGCUAAAACUGGGUGUAGUAGCCUAAUCUACAAGAGGACUCCUAAGAGCCUGACUGAAGUUUGGUCAAGGAGGGAAUCUCUGUAGAUAAUUGUAAACUACCUUCAUACAUCAGUAUUUUCUAGUAGACUAGCAGAGCUUAUAAAUAUACGUCUCAUAACUUUCUAUAGCUAUAAAUAACUUCUUAAUGUGGCAAAAAUAAACAUGUGCCUUAACAGACCCAAAUAUAUAGCCUCUCUAUAUUACAUAAAAGUCAGAGCAAAAAGUAUGAAAAAAAUAAAAUGAUAUUUUGUAA